rnacentral:rRNA from 1 species
GAUGAACGCUGGCGGCGUGCCUAAUACAUGCAAGUCGAGCGAACAGACGAGGAGCUUGCUCCUCUGACGUUAGCGGCGGACGGGUGAGUAACACGUGGAUAACCUACCUAUAAGACUGGGAUAACUUCGGGAAACCGGAGCUAAUACCGGAUAAUAUAUUGAACCGCAUGGUUCAAUAGCGAAAGACGGUUUUGCUGUCACUUAUAGAUGGAUCCGCGCCGCAUUAGCUAGUUGGUAAGGUAACGGCUUACCAAGGCAACGAUGCGUAGCCGACCUGAGAGGGUGAUCGGCCACACUGGAACUGAGACACGGUCCAGACUCCUACGGGAGGCAGCAGUAUGGAAUCUUCCGCAAUGGGCGAAAGCCUGACGGAGCAACGCCGCGUGAGUGAUGAAGGUCUUCGGAUCGUAAAACUCUGUUAUUAGGGAAGAACAAAUGUGUAAGUAACUAUGCACGUCUUGACGGUACCUAAUCAGAAAGCCACGGCUAACUACGUG